rnacentral:rRNA from 1 species
CCUACGGGAGGCAGCAGUGGGGAAUAUUGCGCAAUGGGCGAAACCCUGAUGCAGCAACGCCGCGUGAAGGAAGACGGCUUUCGGAUUGUAAACUUCUUUUCUUAGUGCAAAAUAAUGACGGUAGCUAAGGAGCAAGCCACGGCUAACUACGUGCCAGCAGCCGCGGUAAUACGUAGGUGGCAAGCGUUGUCCGGAAUUACUGGGUGUAAAGGGAACGCAGGCGGGAAGCCAAGUCAGCUGUGAAAACUACGGGCUUAACUUGUAGACUGCAGUUGAAAUUGGUUAUCUUGAGUGAAGUAGAGGUUGGCGGAAUUCCGGGUGUAGCGGUGAAAUGCGUAGAUAUCAGGAGGAACACCGGUGGCGAAGGCGGCCAACUGGGCUUUAACUGACGCUGAGGCUCGAAAGUGUGGGGAGCAAACAGGAUUAGAUACCCUUGUAGUC